CCUACGGGAGGCAGCAGUGAGGAAUAUUGGUCAAUGGGCUUACGCCUGAACCAGCCAAGUCGCGUGAGGGAAGACUGCCCUAUGGGUUGUAAACCUCUUUUGUCAGGGAGCAAUUGGCGCUACGUGUAGCGUUAUCGAGAGUACCUGAAGAAAAAGCAUCGGUUAACUCCGUGCCAGCAGCCGCGGUAAUACGGAGGAUGCGAGCGUUAUCCGGAUUUAUUGGGUUUAAAGGGUGCGUAGGCGGAAUGCCAAGUCAGCGGUAAAAUCGCGGGGCUCAACCUCGCUCCGCCGUUGAAACUGGCGGUCUUGAGUGGGCGAGAAGUAUGCGGAAUGCGUGGUGUAGCGGUGAAAUGCAUAGAUAUCGCGCAGAACUCCGAUUGCGAAGGCAGCAUACCGGCGCCCAACUGACGCUGAAGCACGAAAGCGUGGGUAUCGAACAGGAUUAGAUACCCGUGUAGUC
rnacentral:rRNA from 1 species